CCUACGGGGGGCUGCAGUGGGGAAUAUUGCACAAUGUGGGAAACCCUGAUGCAGCAACGCCGCGUGAGCGAUGAAGGCCUUCGGGUCGUAAAGCUCUGCACUAAGGGAAGAAUACUGACGGUACCUUAGGAGGAAGCACCGGCUAACUACGUGCCAGCAGCCGCGGUAAUACGUAGGGGGCUAGGGUUAUUCGGAAUUACUGGACGUAAAGGGUGCGUAGGCGGCCCUUCAAGGCAGAGGUGAAAGGCGACGGAUCAACCGUAGUAAGCCUUUGAUACUGUAGGGCUUGAGUGCAGGGGAGGUGAGUGGAAUUCCCGGUGUAGCGGUGAAAUGCGUAGAUAUUGGGAGGAAAACCAGUUGCGAAGGCGGCUCUCUGGACUGUAACUGACGCGGAGGCACGAAAGCGUGGGGAGCGAACAGGAUUAGGUACCCGGGUAGUC
rnacentral:rRNA from 1 species